GAUGAACGCUGGCGGCGUGCCUAAUACAUGCAAGUCGAGCGAACAGACGAGGAGCUUGCUCCUCUGACGUUAGCGGCGGACGGGUGAGUAACACGUGGAUAACCUACCUAUAAGACUGGGAUAACUUCGGGAAACCGGAGCUAAUACCGGAUAAUAUAUUGAACCGCAUGGUUCAAUAGUGAAGGACGGUUUUGCUGUCACUUAUAGAUGGAUCCGCGCCGCAUUAGCUAGUUGGUAAGGUAACGGCUUACCAAGGCAACGAUGCGUAGCCGACCUGAGAGGGUGAUCGGCCACACUGGAACCGAGACACGGUCCAGACUCCUACGGGAGGCAGCAGUAGGGAAUCUUCCGCAAUGGGCGAAAGCCUGACGGAGCAACGCCGCGUGAGUGAUGAAGGUCUUCGGAUCGUAAAACUCUGUUAUUAGGGAAGAACAAAUGUGUAAGUAACUAUGCACGUCUUGACGGUACCUAAUCAGAAAGCCACGGCUAACUACGUG
rnacentral:rRNA from 1 species